GACGAACGCUGGCGGCGUGCUUAACACAUGCAAGUCGAACGGAAAGGCCCCCAUCUUGGUGGGGGUGCUCGAGUGGCGAACGGGUGAGUAACACGUGGGUGAUCUGCCCUGUACUUCGGGAUAAGCUUGGGAAACUGGGUCUAAUACCGGAUAGGACCAUGGUUUAGUGUCUCAUGGUGGAAAGAUUAUUGUUUUGGUGCAGGAUGAGCUCGCGGCCUAUCAGCUUGUUGGUGGGGUAAUGGCCUACCAAGGCGUCGACGGGUAGCCGGCCUGAGAGGGUGGACGGCCACAUUGGGACUGAGAUACGGCCCAGACUCCUACGGGAGGCAGCAGUGGGGAAUAUUGCACAAUGGGCGCAAGCCUGAUGCAGCGACGCCGCGUGGGGGAUGACGGCCUUCGGGUUGUAAACUCCUUUCGUUAGGGACGAAGCCGCACUUUUUUUGGGUGUGGUGACGGUACCUUUGUUUAGAAGCACCGGCUAACUACGUG
rnacentral:rRNA from 1 species